GAUGAAGAACGUAGCGAAAUGCGAUACUUGGUGUGAAUUGCAGAAUCCCGUGAACCAUCGAGUCUUUGAACGCAAGUUGCGCCCGAAGCCAUUAGGCCGAGGGCACGCCUGCCUGGGUGUCACACGUCGUUGCCCCCCCAUCUACUCCUUCGGGAUUGCGGGGGGCGGAUGAUGGCCUCCUGUGCGCCUCGUCGCGCGGUUGGCAUAAAUGCCAAGUCCUCGGCGACGCACGCCACGACAAUCGGUGGUUGCGAAACCUCGGUUGCCCGUCGUGUGCGGUCGUCGCGCAUCGAGGGCUCGAAAAAAUUGCCGGGCUCCGGCUCGGCUUUCAACGCGACCCCAGGUCAGGCGGGGUUACCCGCUGAAUUUAAGCAUAUCAAUAAGCGGAGGA
rnacentral:misc_RNA from 1 species